AUAAUAAUCUGUCUUUUAAUUGGAGGCUUGUAUGAAUGGAUAGACGAGAAUAUAGCUGUCUCUUCCUCAUUAAUAUAAAUUAAUAUUUAAGUGAAGAAGCUUAAAUUGUUUUAAAAGACAAGAAGACCCUGUUGAGCUUUAUAUUGGAGAAAAUUGUUUUAAUUAAAUUAAUAUUGUUUUGUAAAAAUGUUUAGUUGGGGCGACUUGAGAAGAUAUUGAAUCUUCUUAUUUUUAUUGGAUAAUGUAUCUGUUAAAUAUCCACGAAGGUGAAUAGAUAAUUAGUUACCACAGGGAUAACAGGCUAAUCCUUUUUGAGAGUUCAUAUUGAGAAAGGGGUUUGGCACCUCGAUGUUGGCUUAGGAAAACAGCUAGGUGCAGAAGCUUAGCAAAGUGGGUUUGUUCAACCCUUUAUAUCCU
rnacentral:rRNA from 1 species